rnacentral:rRNA from 1 species
CCUACGGGUGGCAGCAGUGAGGAAUAUUGGUCAAUGGCCGGAAGGCUGAACCAGCCAAGCCGCGUGAGGGAGGAAGGCGCAGAGCGUCGCAGACCUCUUUUGCCGGGGGACAAAAGGCCGGACUCGUCCGGUCCUGAGGGUACCCGGCGAAAAAGCAUCGGCUAACUCCGUGCCAGCAGCCGCGGUAAUACGGAGGAUGCGAGCGUUAUCCGGAUUCAUUGGGUUUAAAGGGUGCGCAGGCGGGCCUUUAAGCCGGCGGUGAAAUCGCGGGGCUCAACCCCGUCGAGCCGUCGAAACUGGGGGUCUUGAGUGCGCGGGAGGUAUGCGGAAUGCGCGGUGUAGCGGUGAAAUGCAUAGAUAUCGCGCAGAACCCCGAUGGCGAAGGCAGCGUGCCGGGGCGCAACUGACGCUGAGGCACGAAAGCGCGGGGAUCGAACAGGAUUAGAUACCCUUGUAGUC